CUAAGUCAACACCAGGAGAGCUUCUCCCAAACUCCCCGUUCCUGCGUAGUCCGCUUUCUCUUGCUGCCACAUUCUAAAGGCUUGAUAUUUUCCAAAUGGAUCCUGUUGGGAAAGAAUAAAAUUAGCUUGAGCAACCUGGCUAAGAUAGAGGGGCUCUGGGAGACUUUGAAGACCAGUCCUGUUUGCAGGGAAGCCCCACUUGAAGGAAGAAGUCUAAGAGUGAAGGCCUUUAAUAUGUAAUAACAAGAGCUAAUGUUGAACACAAGCCAUUGCCAGACACAUUCCUGAAGGCGCUAAAAGACGAAAAGUUACAAGGACUGAAGACCAAGCAACCUGGAAAGAAGUCGGCCUCUCUCUCCUGAGGAGCUGCCUACCAGAGCUUGGGCAGCCACCUCCUUAGGUGUUAGUGCUUAGAUAAUGUGUCCCAUUUGUUGUCAUUUCAAAGAUGGUUAUUUUCUGUUCUGUAUUUACCGCUGUUCUUGUUGCUACCAGCAUGUACUUCACAUACAGUGCCCACUUUGUGUGGU
rnacentral:lncRNA from 1 species